AUGUAUGUAGGAAAAUUUUAUUUGGCUGAUGCUGGGUAUGCCACCAGGCGGGGCAUAUUGCCACCCUAUCGAGGUGUUCGCUAUCAUCUGCAGGAGUUCCAUGGUCCGAAUCGUCCAACCUCUCCAAAAGAGCUGUUCAACCACCGUCAUUCCUCACUGAGGACAACGGUCGAGCGAGCCUUUGCAGCUAUUAAGAAUCGUUUCAAGAUUCUUAGUAAUAGACCUUUCGUACCCUUGAAAUCACAACCCAAGGUGGUUAUUGCUUGUUGCGUCAUUCACAACUGGAUUUUAGACAACGGACCCGAUGAGUUUGUAGAUGACGAACCGACUUGGUACAACCACCUGCCAAGGAGUAGCAAUCGUGUCUCCGACCGAGAGAGUGAUGUACGCGAGUGGGCAGCCAAGCGUGAUUCGAUUGCCCAACAGAUGUGGAAUGAUAGAGAGAGAUUGGCGAACAAUGAUGCUUCGGACAGCGGGAGCAGUGCUAGUACCAUUUGA
rnacentral:rRNA from 1 species